rnacentral:rRNA from 1 species
AUUGAACGCUGGCGGAAUGCUUUACACAUGCAAGUCGAACGGCAGCACGGACUUCGGUCUGGUGGCGAGUGGCGAACGGGUGAGUAAUACAUCGGAACGUGCCCAAUCGUGGGGGGUAACGUAGCGAAAGCUACGCUAAUACCGCAUACGAUCUAAGGAUGAAAGCGGGGGAUCGCAAGACCUCGCGCGAUUGGAGCGGCCGAUGGCAGAUUAGGUAGUUGGUGGGGUAAAGGCUCACCAAGCCAACGAUCUGUAGCUGGUCUGAGAGGACGACCAGCCACACUGGGACUGAGACACGGCCCAGACUCCUACGGGAGGCAGCAGUGGGGAAUUUUGGACAAUGGACGCAAGUCUGAUCCAGCCAUUCCGCGUGCAGGAUGAAGGCCCUCGGGUUGUAAACUGCUUUUGUACGGAACGAAAAGGUCUCUCUUAAUACGGGGGGCUCAUGACGGUACCGUAAGAAUAAGCACCGGCUAACUACGUGCCAGCAGCCGCGGUAA